rnacentral:rRNA from 1 species
UACGAAGGGGGCUAGCGUUGCUCGGAAUUACUGGGCGUAAAGCGCACGUAGGCGGAUUGUUAAGUCGGGGGUGAAAUCCUGGAGCUCAACUCCAGAACUGCCUUCGAUACUGGCGAUCUCGAGUUCGGGAGAGGUGAGUGGAACUGCGAGUGUAGAGGUGAAAUUCGUAGAUAUUCGCAAGAACACCAGUGGCGAAGGCGGCUCACUGGCCCGAUACUGACGCUGAGGCGCGAAAGCGAGGGGAGCAAACGG